AAUUGCCUUAACAAAUCUUUAUCAUUAAUAAGUUUCAGUGCCCUCAGAGGCAAAGCGCACAAUCAGAAUAUAGAUAUCAAUGUCGGAUUCGAGAUUAAAUUUCAAUUAAAAUUAGUGUACCAGUAGAAUUAUUAUAAGAAUGUUUUGUAAUCAUUGUGGGGUAAAAACUGAUGAUGACGCCAAUUUCUGCCCAAAGUGUGGCAAAAGCACCAGCUCCGGAAACUGUACAGGUACAGUACAAGAGGAAAUAAAUGGAUCAGAUGAACUUCUUCAGCAAGGUACAGCACAAGAGAAAAUACAUGGAUCAGAUGAACUUCUUCAGCAAGACCGGACAAGAGCAGUUGUAUUACCGAAACAGAUGAAUUGCACUCAUGGUAAAAAUUGUUUAUUCUAA